rnacentral:rRNA from 1 species
AUUGAACGCUGGCGGAAUGCUUUACACAUGCAAGUCGAACGGCAGCACGGGGCAACCUGGUGGCGAGUGGCGAACGGGUGAGUAAUACAUCGGAACGUGCCCAAUCGUGGGGGAUAACGUAGCGAAAGUUACGCUAAUACCGCAUACGAUCUACGGAUGAAAGCGGGGGAUCGCAAGACCUCGCGCGAAUGGAGCGGCCGAUGACAGAUUAGGUAGUUGGUGGGGUAAAGGCUCACCAAGCCAACGAUCUGUAGCUGGUCUGAGAGGACGACCAGCCACACUGGAACUGAGACACGGUCCAGACUCCUACGGGAGGCAGCAGUGGGGAAUUUUGGACAAUGGGCGCAAGCCUGAUCCAGCCAUUCCGCGUGCAGGAUGAAGGCCUUCGGUUGUAACUGCUUUGUACGG